rnacentral:rRNA from 2 species
CUCGGAUCAGGUAGGAAUACCCGCUGAACUUAAGCAUAUCAAUAAGCGGAGGA